ACGGAAGGCAGCAGUGGGGAAUAUUGGUCAAUGGGCGGAAGCCUGAGCCAGCCAAGUCGCGUGAAGGAUGAAGGUAUUAUGUAUUGUAAACUUCUUUAGCAGCAGAGUAAUAAGGAGGUCGUGACCUCCGAUGCAAGUAUGCUGAAAAUAAGGAUCGGCUAACUCCGUGCCAGCAGCCGCGGUAAUACGGAGGAUCCGAGCGUUAUCCGGAUUUAUUGGGUUUAAAGGGUGCGCAGGCGGCCCUGUAAGUCAGCGGUUAAAUCGUGAGGCUCAACCUCAUCCCGCCGUUGAUACUGCAGGGCUUGAUUGCGGUCGAGGUUGGCGGAAUUCGUCGUGUAGCGGUGAAAUGCAUAGAUAUGACGAAGAACACCGAUUGCGUAGGCAGCUGACCAGACCGUAAAUGACGCUCAUGCACGAAAGUGCGGGGAUCGAACAGGAUUAGAUACCCUGGUA
rnacentral:rRNA from 1 species